rnacentral:rRNA from 1 species
AAAGCGUCCGUAGGCGGCUUGCCAAGUCAGAGGUGAAAUCCCACGACUCAAUCGUGGAACUGCCUUUGAGACUGGUUCGCUUGAAGAUGGGAGAGGUUAGUGGAAUUCCGAGUGUAGAGGUGAAAUUCGUAGAUAUUCGGAAGAACACCAGUGGCGAAGGCGGCUAACUGGACCAUUCUUGACGCUGAGGGACGAAAGCGUGGGGAGCAAACAGGAUUAGAUACCCCAGU